rnacentral:rRNA from 1 species
AACUUGGAUUUUGUAAGUAGUUGCGAAUGAACACAAAUUUGAUCACUUUGGCAAUCUGUACACAUUGCUGUGUAACAAUUUGUAUACGUUGGCACAGUGCUAUCAAAGCUGCAUGCAAGUGUUUUUUGAAAGGAUACAACAUGGGAUGUGAUAUUCAUGUGUGUGUGCCUGCUUUGUCCACAGCCUGUGCUGUAUGAAUCACAUUUCUUGCAACUGAAAUGCUAAUGGCAUGGUAAAGUUCAUGUGACAUGACACAAGCUUGAGAUUCAUGAUGUGCAAGUACCAUGAGGGAAAUGUGAAAAGGACUUUGGAAAGAGAAUUAAAUAAAGCCUGCAUUUGCUGACAAUGAAAGCAAGUGUGGAUGUUCAUGUAAUUGUUACUGCAUCAAUCAAUGUUCAUCUUGGUUACUGCAUGCUUUAUAUUACAGCUCAGAACAUGAAGUGUGUGUAACAGCUCUGCUUUGAUUUUUCCCACAUGGGAUCAGUUGAAACAUUGUGAGAGCACUCUUCAGUUUCCUUAUGUACCCACCAGCUUUGUCCACUCGCGUGUUGGCACACAUGUAAUGAUGAUGUGUUUAUGCAAGAUACUUCUGUGCUCAACAACAUGUUGUGUCAAUCCUCACUUGACCCGUCUUGAAACACGGACCAAGGAGUCUGGCAAGUGUGCAAACCAACUUUCUGUAGAGAUUUGUAUGUAAUGAACAUGUUUGUAUCAUUAUUGCACCACCAAUCAAUAUUCAGCUCGUUGCUUAUUUGAAUGUGAGCAUUGUUGCUAGGACCCGAAAGAUGGUGAACUAUGCUUGCAUAAC